UGUNUGAGUUGGUAAAUGGAUAGCACGACUUGGUUGUAUCCCUACNUNGGUAGCGACGUCCUCUCGUGCAUUCCUCUUCAAUUUUUGGCACAAGNNCCUCUUUUGCCUUGGCCUAGUUGUUGGUUUCCUGUACUGAAUACCUACAUCGAUGGAAUUUGNCGGCUAUUUUAUCCCGAGUUCGCCUACAUCUGCCCGUUAACGCGGUGCGGCUUCGGGUGAACCUCAAAGCGAAAUUCAUGUUCCGACUUGCAUACAUUUGCUAUGCAGUCACGGCCCAUGUCCCUAGCGUGGCUUCGAGGAUGCAGAAAACACCGAGGGUAAGGGGUCUUCGACCUCUCUUUUGCCCCAAAUCGGCAUUACACGCCGCAUUCGAUUGACUUUCGGCGUUGUACAGGCGUUCUACGUCUUGCNGCCCGAUGUCACCGAGGAAUGCUACCUGGUUGAUCCUGCCAGUAGUCAUAUGCUUGUCUCANAGA
rnacentral:misc_RNA from 1 species